GGCGUGUGCUGUGGUUGCUGUGGUUGCUCAGGUAUUCGCUAAAAAAGAGCGAAUACCUGAGCAAGGUGGAGCGAAUAGAAACACUAAUAGUGUAUGUAAGCAUACUUACUCCGUAAAAUCACCGUAAAAUCACAAAGAACUCCGUGUCAUAGGUCUAUUCUUUGCAAGUUUAGUUUGUCAUAGAUAUAGGCUUAGCUAGCUAGAGUGUGAGGAGCUGUCUUGUGCGAAGGAAGAAGGAGCAUCACUCUUGUGAAAGAACAGACCUAGGUUCUCAAGUUUCUGCUAUCAGUGGCUACCUUUGAUUGACUACACAAUUUAAUACAAGCGCUUGAUUAGACCAUUGAUUGCCAGAUACACUUGGUAGAGUCUAUCCUCAGACUCUGGCCAUCGAUCUCUUGUAUACUAUGCUUAGGGGUGUCCACAAGUGGCUGGGCCUGGGAUGUAUUGUCAAGCCUAUAGUCCAAUCCUUGGUAUCUGGAUCAAGAUAUGACAUUACGGCACUGGCACUGGUGUUGGUUGUGUUAGCCUCCUUCACCGGCCUUCAAGGAAGUGCGGCCUGGGAUCGUGGCUAGUUUUGUGUGGACCAUCACUGAGCAAAAUGGAACCUUCCCCUCCAACCCCCGUCGUACUCCUCCUAGCUGAUGGGUGUGAACUCAUUGAAAGAUGAUGCCCCAGUGCCAUCCAACGCAGUAUUUAUUAAGUCUUUCUGGAAGCUCUCGUUUGAGAUCUUCGC